GAGGGGGUGACUAGUGACAGAGUGAGGAAGGGGGUGACAUAGUGAGGGAGGGGGUGACUAGUGUCACAGUGAGAGAGGGGGUGACUAGUGACAGAGUGAGGGAGGGGGUGACACAGUGACAGAGUUAGGGAGGGAGUGACUAGUGACAGAGAGAGGGAUGGGGUGACUAGUGACAGUCACCCCCUCUCUCACUCUGUCACUAGUCACACCCUCUCUCACUCUGUCAUUAGUCACCCCCUCUCUCACUCUGUCACCAGUCACCCUUCCUUCCCUCACUCUGCCACUAGUCAUCCCUUCCCUCA